rnacentral:sRNA from 1 species
GCACGAUUUUCAGUUGGCCCGCUUCCCCUCGUGAUUAGGACAGACGCGGGCACUCUGGCCCAGCCGUCUUGGCUCAGUAUCUGCAGGCGUCCGUCUCGGGACGGAGCUCAGGGGAAGAGCGUGACUCCAGUUGAACGUGAUAGUCGUGUCUGAAACCAGCCCCAAAAUCUUCCCACUGACUCUGGGGAGCAGCGAGCCUGCCGGAUAUGUGGUCAUCGCCUGCCUGGUCCGGGACUUCUUCCCGUCAGAGC